rnacentral:rRNA from 1 species
UGGGGAAUAUUGGACAAUGGGCGCAAGCCUGAUCCAGCCAUGCCGCGUGAGUGAUGAAGGCCCUAGGGUUGUAAAGCUCUUUCACCAGUGAAGAUAAUGACGGUAACCGGAGAAGAAGCCCCGGCUAACUUCGUGCCAGCAGCCGCGGUAAUACGAAGGGGGCUAGCGUUGUUCGGAUUUACUGGGCGUAAAGCGCACGUAGGCGGACUAUUAAGUCAGGGGUGAAAUCCCGGGGCUCAACCCCGGAACUGCCUUUGAUACUGGUAGUCUUGAGUUCGAGAGAGGUGAGUGGAAUUCCGAGUGUAGAGGUGAAAUUCGUAGAUAUUCGGAGGAACACCAGUGGCGAAGGCGGCUCACUGGCUCGAUACUGACGCUGAGGUGCGAAAGCGUGGGGAGCAAACAGG